UAAGGCGUCAUCUAACUGGAAAGAUAUCCCCCUUUAUGGGGUGGAAAAUACCGGUUCCAAUCCGGUCGUCUUAG
rnacentral:tRNA from 1 species